UCAUAACCCACAAGUCAAGGCUCAUUUGUAACUAUCAUUUUUCCAGGCUGCAUAAAUGUGACUGCCAUGGGAGUUCACAGAAGUAUCUCAUGAAAUGGCCUCUUAUGAAGCCCAAGACAGGAAGCAGCAGGUACAGGAUUCAGCAGAGUUAAUACUCUUGGAUAAUGUAUUUAAGGAUGCUUAAGGAAGAAGUUCACAGACAGGAUGGCUUCAUGAUAAGUAAACUCCAGUGGUGUGUUAAAGAUGGCUUGUACGGGCUUGUGAGAAUUAACAGCUAAUCUUCUGGAGUUUUGUAAGCUGGCUAUUAAACACAGCCAUUGCCCAAAAUCAAAUUAUAUAAAAUCAUGUUAAAAUUAAAGGUAAUAAAUAUAGCUCAUUAUUUCCUAAUUAUUAUACUAUUGUUUAUAUUCUUGAAGUUAUUUACAUCUAAAUUCUAUGGUGAAAAUACCAUAUAAUGUACUACUCCACAUCUUUGCCCAACUCUGCUU
ensembl:lincRNA